UAUAAUAUCGCUAUUCCGGCUCCCUGAAGUACGGCCACCUCGAUAUACCGGCCAUUUGGCUUGGCACGGAAUGCUAGCUAUAUGUUUACUGCACAAAACUCACCCUGAAGUACGGCCACUCGCUAUGUAUACAGAAGGAGAGAGAGACGAAUUUUUUGAAAAGUAACAAGAGCAUCAAAAAUGAAUUUGGCACCUCAUAAAUUAUUAGUUAAGGGCAAACAAAGAAAGGAAGUGGACGGGGAGAAGGACAAGGUACCGAUGACCACCAUGUACAUAAUUGUUUGAAUUGCCAAGAACCCAGCUACAUCGAUCGGUCUAUUUAUAGCUUGCCUUCUAGAAUCGCACAGUAUACAAUCUGCUAAAAUUAUCAACAUUAUAAUUCUGAACAUUAAUUUUACAAUAAUACAUCACCAAUAUCUAUGCAUAAUUAUGUACGUCAUUGUCUUUUCAAGAAGAAGUUUACUGCG